CUACGGGGUGCAGCAGUGGGGAAUAUUGGACAAUGGGCGCAAGCCUGAUCCAGCAAUACCGCGUGUGUGAAGAAGGCCUGCGGGUUGUAAAGCACUUUCAAUUGUGAAGAAAAGCGAGGGCUUAAUACGCUCUUGUCUUGACGUUAACUUUAGAAGAAGCACCGGCUAACUCUGUGCCAGCAGCCGCGGUAAUACAGAGGGUGCGAGCGUUAAUCGGAAUUACUGGGCGUAAAGCGUACGUAGGCGGUUUAGUAAGUCAGAUGUGAAAGCCCUGGGCUCAACCUGGGAACUGCAUUUGAAACGGCUAGACUAGAGUGUGGUAGAGGGAAGUGGAAUUCCGGGUGUAGCGGUGAAAUGCGUAGAUAUCCGGAGGAACACCAGUGGCGAAGGCGACUUCCUGGACCAACACUGACGCUGAGGUACGAAAGCGUGGGUAGCAAACAGGAUUAGAUACCCUCGUAGUC
rnacentral:rRNA from 1 species